GGGCUCACACAAGCGGUGGAGGAUGUGGCUUAAUUCGAGGCUACGCGAAGAACCUUAUCCUGGUCUUGACAUGCAGUGUUCAGACGAUGAAAGUCGUUGGUGUAGCAAUACACGAACUGCACAGGUGCUGCAUGGCUGUCGUCAGCUCGUGUCGUGAGAUGUCGGGUUAAGUCCCUUAACGAGCGAAACCCUUGUCGCUAGUUGCCAGCGAGUCAUGUCGGGGACUCUAGCGAGACUGCCGGUGUUAAACCGGAGGAAGGCGGGGAUGACGUCAAGUCCUCAUGGCCUUUAUGACCAGGGCCGCACACGUCCUACAAUGGUGUGGACAAAGGGAAGCAAACCUGCGAAGGCAAGCAAAUCCCAAAAACCAUACCUCAGUUCGGAUUGUAGGCUGCAACUCGCCUACAUGAAGCCGGAAUCGCUAGUAAUCGCGGGUCAGCAUACCGCGGUGAAUGUGUUCCUGAGCCUU
rnacentral:rRNA from 1 species